AUUGAACGCUGGCGGCAGGCCUAACACAUGCACGUCGCACGAGUGGCGGACGGGUGAGUAAUGUCUGGGAAACUGCCUGAUGGAGGGGACUACCUACUGGAAACGGUCGCUAAUACCGCAUACCCUCAGAUGUGCCCCGAUGGGCGGAGCUUGUUGGUGGGUGACCGGCGCACCAAGGCGACGAUCCCUAGCUGGUCUGAGAGGAUGACCAGACACACUGGAACUGAUACACGGUCCAGACUCCUACGGGAGGCAGCAGUGGGGAAUAUUGCACAAUGGGCGCAAGCCGGAUGCAGCCAUGCCGCGUGUAUGAAGAAGGCCUUCGGGUUGUAAAGUACUUUCAGCGGUGAGGCGUUACCCGCAGAAGAAGCACCGGCUAACUCCGUGCCAGCAGCCGCGGUAAUAC
rnacentral:rRNA from 1 species